AAAACAUAGUAUAAUCUAAUACAUUCCGCUUACACUGGAAAUAUAUUCAACUAUUGAUUUGUUUU
rnacentral:tRNA from 1 species